rnacentral:lncRNA from 1 species
UUAUCUAAAAUUGAAGUUUACCUAAUUUAGUUUAAUUUAAUUAUUUUACUGAUUUAAAUUAAUCAGAAUUUUCUUAAAAUUCAGUAAAAGAAAAAAACGUAAGGGAAGCUUUGUUGCUUUGCAAAAUAGGGAGAUAUUUCAGGAAGGUAAGGGGAGAGGUCUAUCCUACAGUAUGGAGUACAGAAGUGGGACUUAGAGAUAGCCAAGAGAGUUUGAAAUAUUCAAAGAAUAUAUACAAUAGAAUCUGUAGCCUUUUUUAAAAAAAAAAUUAGAAUUUCCAUCUCUCUGAAUGUAUUCCAGUUGUAAAAAAAAAAUGUAUUGAGUGUCCCAUCAUAUGGAAGUUUUUAAAAUUGUAGGAAAUAAAAUAUUCAGAAGGCUACACAAGGUAUUAAAAAAGGGGACAGGGAUAUAAUAGCUUACUAGCUUAUUAGAAUGAAUUUGGUUCCUUAUGAGGGAUAAUCUAGAGAAAAGAGGCAUAGAAUAAGAUCUUUGGAACCAAACAGUCUGAGUUUGAAUCCUGGCUCUCCCUUUUGGCAUCUGUGUGAUCUUGGGCAAGCUACCUAAUUUCUAUUACAGCUUUGUUAUCUCAACUGUAAAAUGAGGCUGAUAUUGAUAUAUCAUUGGAGAGGACUAAAUGAGACCAUGCAAAAUGUGUACUUGGCACAGUGCCUGAUCCACAAAUACUGAUGAUGAUGAUGAUGAUGAUGGUGGUGGUGGUGGUGGUGAUGAUGGUGAUAAUAACAGUGAUGAUGAUGGUAGUAUAGCAUUAGUGCAGCAAAAAGGAAAAAUGGACUCAAAACUAAUUUUUCCUAAAAAUUUGUGCUUUUAUUUAUCAGAUGCUUCUAACUUAGUCCCCACCAGUCUAAGACUAGAACAAUAUUGGGAUUUUCCUUUUCAGAAGUUCUAUCAUUGGCAAGUUGUUUUUAUUUCCAGAACUCCAACUCAGAAGAAAUCACCUCUGAAUUCAUUGUCUAUUUAAUAAAGUCAAGAUUCUUCAAAUUCUCCAUUUUAUUCAGUAUUAAAUAACUUUCAAAAUAUGGCUAUCUUGAAAGUCUCCACUUCCUCAUACUUAGCAAUUUCCAGCAUUAUUUAAAAAAAAAAUGUGUCUUUUCUUUGAUGCAAAGCAAUUACUGGGAUACUUUCUUCUCAGAGAGGAAAUGCAAAGAACAUGAUCCUUUCUGCCUGGUCCCUGUACAACAUUGAAAACAACUGGGGUAAUUUUUUAUUAAUGCAUUUGUUAAAAAGAUGCAACAUUUCUAUCUCCAAGAAGUUUGAAAUAUAUAAAAUGUAUUCUGUGUCUCAUUAUCAGGUCUCUGACUCAGAGUAACUUUUACAAAGGUUUUUAUCUUUUUUUCCCCUCUAUGCUUCCCAAAGCAUGACUAAUGAGGCUGAUGAAUGUCAUCAUAGGAGCGCCGCGUUUCUGGCAGGUAGAAAAAGAUCACAUUAGGGCUUGGACUUCCAAGUGACAUCUAGAAGCAAUGAGAAAUUCAAACAAGACUACCCUGAGUCUAUGCAGGAAUUGGUAGUGUUUGAAAUUUGGGAGAAAUGUUUUAAUUUUUGUGAAAGUCAGUGGUGUUAAAGGUCAGAAAUGUAACUACCUCCAGAGUUCUAGCAUUCAGGGUAGUGAAGAUGUGGUGAGAGUUAAUGAAAUAAAAUCAAGAAAGGAAAAACAUACAUGUUGGUGUCAGGAGAUGUGUCUGGUUAAAUGUCAGUUCUUGUUCACAGCAAGUAGAAAUGUUCAGUCUUUCAGAGUCACUGCCAAAGGCACCAUAUACAUUUCUCCACAUCAGGAACCUGAGAAUCGUUUUCUCUUUUCCCAAUUCUACAAGGGUUUAUAAUUCACAGAACCGUGCAGGGAUCGCUUUUGGACAUUUGUCCCCUUUACCAGACAGCAGUUAAUGAACUUGCAUCUCUGCUUUAAGCUUAGGACACCUAGGUGAAAGCAGCCACUGCUGAAUUAGUGUGUACUUCAUUAGAAAACUAAUGUGAGGAAGAUUCCUGGUGGAAAUAUGGCAGUGGUUUCUGAGCCUGUGGGCUAGGCAGUGCUUAGUUAGAAUCUCAGACCCUGAUCCUCCCAGCUCACUCUACCCACAAAGAACAACAUAUACAUAUUUAUUCUUCUGCCAGUGCUUGAAAUCAAGCUUGAUCAGCCAUGGCAGUAGGAUGGGAGGUGACCUAGAACAGACUAUGGGAAAGUGAGAAGAGAGUCUCUGACUGGGAUGAUGUUGAUGUGUUCUUGAGGAUGUCUUUCUGCAUACACCUAGCUGUCUGCAAUUAUCACUAAGGUGACCUAGAAAAUACAGCCAAAGAAACAUAUACUGAAUAAUUGUGG